GAGUUUGAUCCUGGCUCAGGACGAACGCUGGCGGCGUGCCUAACACAUGCAAGUCGAACGGACGAAGGAGCUUCGGCUCCCUAGUUAGUGGCGAACGGGUGAGUAACGCGUGAGCAACCUGCCUUUCAGAGGGGGACAACAGCUGGAAACGGCUGCUAAUACCGCAUAACAUGAUUUAGCCGCAUGACUGGAUCAUCAAAGAUUUAUCGCUGAAAGAUGGGCUCGCGUCUGAUUAGCUAGUUGGUGGGGUAAAGGCCCACCAAGGCGACGAUCAGUAGCCGGACUGAGAGGUUGAACGGCCACAUUGGGACUGAGACACGGCCCAGACUCCUACGGGAGGCAGCAGUGGGGAAUAUUGGGCAAUGGGCGCAAGCCUGACCCAGCAACGCCGCGUGAGGGAAGAAGGCUUUCGGGUUGUAAACCUCUGUCCUUGGUGACGAAGGAAGUGACGGUAGCCAAGGAGGAAGCCCCGGCUAACUACGUGCCAGCCGCCGCGGUAAUUC
rnacentral:rRNA from 1 species